GAUGAACGCUGGCGGCGUGCUUAACACAUGCAAGUCGAACGGAAAGGCUCCUGCUUGCAGGGGUACUCGAGUGGCGAACGGGUGAGUAACACGUGGGUGAUCUGCCCUGCACUUUGGGAUAAGCCUGGGAAACUGGGUCUAAUACCGGAUAGGACGAUGGUUUGGAUGCCAUUGUGGAAAGUUUUUCGGUGUGGGAUGAGCUCGCGGCCUAUCAGCUUGUUGGUGGGGUAAUGGCCUACCAAGGCGUCGACGGGUAGCCGGCCUGAGAGGGUGUACGGCCACAUUGGGACUGAGAUACGGCCCAGACUCCUACGGGAGGCAGCAGUGGGGAAUAUUGCACAAUAGGCGCAAGCCUGAUGCAGCGACGCCGCGUGGGGGAUGACGGCCUUCGGGUUGUAAACUCCUUUCGCUAGGGACGAAGCGCAAGUGACGGUACCUGGAGAAGAAGCACCGGCUAACUACGUG
rnacentral:rRNA from 1 species